rnacentral:rRNA from 1 species
GAUGAACGCUGGCGGCGUGCCUAAUACAUGCGAGUCGAGCGAACGGACGAGAAGCUUGCUUCUCUGAUGUUAGCGGCGGACGGGUGAGUAACACGUGGAUAACCUACCUAUAAGACUGGGAUAACUUCGGGAAACCGGAGCUAAUACCGGAUGAUAUUUUGAACCGCAUGGUUCAAAAGUGAAAGACGGUCUUGCUGUCACUUAUAGAUGGAUCCGCGCUGCAUUAGCUAGUUGGUAAGGUAACGGCUUACCAAGGCAACGAUGCAUAGCCGACCUGAGAGGGUGAUAGGCCACACUGGAACUGAGACACGGACCAGACUCCUACGGGAGGCAGCAGUAGGGAAUCUUCCGCAAUGGGCGAAAGCCUGACGGAGCAACGCCGCGUGAGUGAUGAAGGUCUUCGGAUCGUAAAACUCUGUUAUUAGGGAAGAACAGAUGUGUAAGUAACUGUGCACAUCUUGACGGUACCUAAUCAGAAAGCCACGGCUAACUACGUG